rnacentral:rRNA from 1 species
GUACGCUGGCGGCACGCCUAACACAUGCAAGUCGAACGCAGUAGCAAUACUGAGUGGCAAACGGGUGAGUAUAAUGUGGGAAUCUGCCUUUUGGUUUGGAAUAACACGGGGAAACUUGUGCUAAUACCGAAUAAGCCCUUACGGGGAAAGUUUUAACGCCGAAAGAUGAGCCCGCACUUGAUUAGCUAGUUGGUAAGGUAAAAGCUUACCAAGGCAACGAUCAAUAGCUGUUCUUAGAGGAAGACCAGCCACAUUGGGACUGAGACACGGCCCAGACUCCUACGGGAGGCAGCAGUGGGGAAUCUUGCACAAUGGGGGAAACCCUGAUGCAGCGAUGCCGCGUGAGUGAAGAAGGCCCUUGGGUUGUAAAGCUCUUUCGUCGGGGAAGAAAAUGACUGUACCCGAAUAAGAAGGUCCGGCUAACUUCGUGCCAGCAGCCGCGGUAAUACGAAGGGACCUAGCGUAGUUCGGAAUUACUGGGCUUAAAGAGUUCGUAGGUGGUUGAAAAAGUUAGUGGUGAAAUCCCAGAGCUUAACUCUGGAACUGCCAUUAAAACUUUUCAGCUAGAGUAUGAUAGAGGAAAGCAGAAUUUCUAGUGUAGAGGUGAAAUUCGUAGAUAUUAGAAAGAAUACCAAUUGCGAAGGCAGCUUUCUGGAUCAUUACUGACACUGAGGAACGAAAGCAUGGGUAGCGAAGAGGAUUAGAUACCCUCGUAGUCCAUGCCGUAAACGAUGUGUGUUAGACGUUGGAAAUUUAUUUUCAGUGUCGCAGCGAAAGCGAUAAACACACCGCCUGGGGAGUACGACCGCAAGGUUAAAACUCAAAUGAAUUGACGGGGACCCGCACAAGUAGUGGAGCAUGUGGUUUAAUUCGAAGAUACGCGCAGAACCUUACCAACACUUGACAUGUUCGUCGCGACUCUAAGAGAUUAGAGUUUUCGGUUCGGCCGGACGAAACACAGGUGCUGCAUGGCUGUCGUCAGCUCGUGUCGUGAGAUGUUGGGUUAAGUCCCGCAACGAGCGCAACCCUCACUUUUAGUUGCCAUCAUUAAGUUGGGCACUCUGAAAGAACUGCCAGUGAUAAGCUGGAGGAAGGUGGGGAUGACGUCAAGUCCUCAUGGCCCUUACGUGUUGGGCUACACACGUGCUACAAUGGUAUCUACAACAGGAAGCAAGACUGCGAGGUCAAGCAAAUCCUUAAAAGAUACCUCAGUUCGGAUUGCACUCUGCAACUCGAGUGCAUGAAGCUGGAAUUACUAGUAAUCGUGGAUCAGCGUGCCACGGUGAAUGCGUUCCCGGGUCUUGUACACACCGCCCGUCACACCAUGGGAGUUGGUUCUACCUUAAGGCAAGGUUUCAAACCCUUGACCACGGUAUAGUCAGCGACUGGGGUGAAGUCAUAACAAGGUAGCCGUA